GGUAUAGACCCGAAACCCGGUGAUCUAGCCAUGGGCAGGUUGAAGGUUGGGUAACACUAACUGGAGGACCGAACCGACUAAUGUUGAAAAAUUAGCGGAUGACCUGUGGCUGGGGGUGAAAGGCCAAUCAAACCGGGAGAUAGCUGGUUCUCCCCGAAAGCUAUUUAGGUAGCGCCUCGUGAAUUCAUCUCCGGGGGUAGAGCACUGUUUCGGCUAGGGGGCCAUCCCGGCUUACCAACCCGAUGCAAACUGCGAAUACCGGAGAAUGUUAUCACGGGAGACACACGGCGGGUGCUAACGUCCGUCGUGAAGAGGGAAACAACCCAGACCGCCAGCUAAGGUCCCAAAGUCAUGGUUAAGUGGGAAACGAUGUGGGAAGGCCCAGACAGCCAGGAUGUUGGCUUAGAAGCAGCCAUCAUUUAAAGAAAGCGUAAUAGCUCACUGGUCGAGUCGGCCUGCGCGGAAGAUGUAACGGGGCUAAACCAUGCACCGAAGCUGCGGCAGCGACACUCAGGUGUUGUUGGGUAGGGGAGCGUUCUGUAAGCCUGCGAAGGUGGCCUGUGAGGGUUGCUGGAGGUAUCAGAAGUGCGAAUGCUGACAUAAGUAACGAUAAAGCGGGUGAAAAGCCCGCUCGCCGGAAGACCAAGGGUUCCUGUCCAACGUUAAUCGGGGCAGGGUGAGUCGACCCCUAAGGCGAGGCCGAAAGGCGUAGUCGAUGGGAAACGGGUUAAUAUUCCCGUACUUGGUGUUACUGCGAAGGGGGGACGGAGAAGGCUAUGUUGGCCGGGCGACGGUUGUCCCGGUUUAAGCGUGUAGGUGUGUGUUCCAGGUAAAUCCGGUUCACUUUAACACUGAGGCGUGAUGACGAGGCACUACGGUGCUGAAGCAACAAAUGCCCUGCUUCCAGGAAAAGCCUCUAAGCAUCAGGUAACAUCAAAUCGUACCCCAAACCGACACAGGUGGUCAGGUAGAGAAUACCAAGGCGCUUGAGAGAACUCGGGUGAAGGAACUAGGCAAAAUGGUGCCGUAACUUCGGGAGAAGGCACGCUGACACGUAGGUGAAGUGAUUUACUCAUGGAGCUGAAGUCAGUCGAAGAUACCAGCUGGCUGCAACUGUUUAUUAAAAACACAGCACUGUGCAAACACGAAAGUGGACGUAUACGGUGUGACGCCUGCCCGGUGCCGGAAGGUUAAUUGAUGGGGUCAGCGCAAGCGAAGCUCCUGAUCGAAGCCCCGGUAAACGGCGGCCGUAACUAUAACGGUCCUAAGGUAGCGAAAUUCCUUGUCGGGUAAGUUCCGACCUGCACGAAUGGCGUAAUGAUGGCCAGGCUGUCUCCACCCGAGACUCAGUGAAAUUGAACUCGCUGUGAAGAUGCAGUGUACCCGCGGCAAGACGGAAAGACCCCGUGAACCUUUACUAUAGCUUGACACU
rnacentral:rRNA from 1 species